GGGGCGAUCGGAGGGAAGGCUUGCUUCCUUCGCCGGCGACCGGCGCACGGGUGAGUAACACGUAUGCAACCUCGCCCUCUUCACGGGGGACGAACCUUCCGAAGGGAGGCGUAAUCCGCGUAUAUCGGUUCGGGUCGAUCCGAGAUCGAGGAAAGAUUCAUCGGAAGAGGAUGGGCAUGCGGCGCAUUAGCUUGACGGCGGGGUAACGGCCCACCGUGGCGACGAUGCGUAGGGGUUCUGAGAGGAAGGUCCCCCACACUGGUACUGAGACACGGACCAGACUCCUACGGGAGGCGGCAGUGAGGAAUAUUGGUCAAUGGGAGAGAUCCUGAACCGGCCAAGCCGCGUGAGGGAAGACGGCCCUAUGGGUUGUAAACCUCUUUUGUCGGAGAACAAAACCCGGGACGUGUCCCGGACUGCGUGUAUCCGAAGAAAAAGCAUCGGCUAACUCCGUG
rnacentral:rRNA from 1 species